rnacentral:rRNA from 1 species
UACAGAGGGUGCGAGCGUUAAUCGGAUUUACUGGGCGUAAAGGGCGCGUAGGCGGUAAGAUGUGUGUGAUGUGAAAGCCCCGGGCUUAACCUGGGAAGUGCAUCGCAAACUAUCUAACUGGAGUAUAUGAGAGGGUGGCGGAAUUUCCGGUGUAGCGGUGAAAUGCGUAGAGAUCGGAAGGAACGUCAAUGGCGAAGGCAGCCACCUGGCAUAAUACUGACGCUGAGGCGCGAAAGCGUGGGGAGCGAACAGG